UUUGACCACCGUGAGGCUUCGUCUGCUGUUGCCGGAGAUGUUUGCCGGAAGCUUUGAAACGGUGGGAAGAAAUGAAGAUGUCAUGGUCAUUGACGCCAUUGCAAUUGGUAAGUUGGAUUCCCACGUGUGAUCUCUUUAUCUAUCUCUGUUUCUUGUUUAUCUGAUGAGUUGGUGAUUGAUUGUCUUUAAAAAGUUGGGGAUAUGGGAAAACAAAAAAGAAUUGAUAUUGAGCGAUUAUGAUCCAUUUCCUUAUCCAAAAUAUGAAUUUAUAGCAAAUGGGUUGUUGCCACGUGUCUUUGUGCUAUCCUUAUUUUGCAUAGAUGAACUUUUGAAAGAGAAUGAAUACUAGAAGCUUUCUUGUAGUGUCGAGAAGAACUAGGUCCAUUCUCGGGUUGUGAAACAAAAUCUUUGAUUUUCGAAAAAGAAGAAGCAAAAAGGGUCAAGAGCCCAAUUCAUCACAAAAUCUUUGAUUUUCGAAAAAGAAGAAGCAAAAAGGGUCAAGAGCCCAAUUCACUUCUUCAACCACCAAAACGGACGAGCCAGUCAGUGGUCACGAGCUUUUUCUGGCCCAAACAGAAACUAAUAGAAUUAAAUUGGGAGGUGCUAUAAUUCCAUUUUCAAAACAAUAUAACAAAUUAGUUAUUUUUUAGGGUUAAUUUUAGUUAGAGCAAAACUAGUGGUUUUGUUAAAUUUUCUCUUUUCAAAACAUUGAAAAAAUGCACAUAAUUUUAUUUACUGUAUAAAGUAUAAACUGUAGCAAACAAAAGAAGUUUUAUUUUUUUUGAUAAGGUUGAUGCAUUAUAUAAACUGGUAGCAAGAGUUUUACAAUUGUUACACCAUAGUAACAAUCUAAGAUUUGGUCUCUUGACGAAAUUACUCCAUGUUCAUACUCCUCUUUUAGAAUAUCAUGUUUUGUGGUUUCAGAGCUUGAAGACAGUAAAAACAAGUAUUUCCAUAAGGAUAAUGAAGACUUUUUUUCAAGGUUAUGGAAACAGUUCUAAAGAAAAGACUAAGUAACAUACAUGCUGAGACAUAUGAUGAAUUGAUCGAAAAAGUCGAGACUCUACCUUUAAAAGAUGAUUUCAAAGAUGAAGCUGUUGAAUCCGAUUUCGAGGAUGCGCAUUCCACUAAC
rnacentral:lncRNA from 1 species